UACAGAGGGCUCAAGCGUUGUUCGGAUUUAUUGGGCGUAAAGGGUGUGUAGGCGGCGUGCUAAGUCGGGUGUGAAAUUUCGGAGCUUAACUCCGAAACUGCAUUCGAUACUGGCGUGCUUGAGGACUGGAGAGGAGACUGGAAUUCAUGGUGUAGCGGUGAAAUGCGUAGAGAUCAUGAGGAAGACCAGUGGCGAAGGCGGGUCUCUGGGCAGUUCCUGACGCUGAGACACGAAGGCCAGGGGAGCAAACGGG
rnacentral:rRNA from 1 species